rnacentral:rRNA from 1 species
UUGACCUCGGAUCAGGUAGGAAUACCCGCUGAACUUAAGCAUAUCAAUCAGCGGAGGAAAAGAAACCAACAGGGAUUGCCCUAGUAACGGCGAGUGAAGCGGCAACAGCUCAAAUUUGAAAUCUGGCCCUAGGCCCGAGUUGUAAUUUGCAGAGGAUGCUUCGGGCGCGGCGCCUUCCAAGUCCCCUGGAACGGGGCGCCAGAGAGGGUGAGAGCCCCGUACUGUCGGACGCCAAGCCUAUGUGAAGCUCCUUCGACGAGUCGAGUAGUUUGGGAAUGCUGCUCAAAAUGGGAGGUAGACCCCUUCUAAAGCUAAAUACUGGCCAGAGACCGAUAGCGCACAAGUAGAGUGAUCGAAAGAUGAAAAGCACUUUGAAAAGAGGGUUAAAUAGCACGUGAAAUUGUUGAAAGGGAAGCGCUGGUGACCAGACUUGCACCGGGGCGAUCAUCUGGCGUUCUCGCCAGUGCACUCGCCUCGGUUCAGGCCAGCGGCGGUUCGCGCGGGGGGAUAAAGGUACUGGGAACGUGGCUCCUCUAGGAGUGUUAUAGCCCAGUGCGUCAUGCCCU